rnacentral:rRNA from 1 species
AACGAACGCUGGCGGCAUGCCUAACACAUGCAAGUCGAACGAGACCAUCGGGUGUAUUGUCGCAUGGGUGCGUCACGCGUGGGAACCUGCACAUAGGUUUGGACUACCUCCCAGACAGGGGUGCUAAUAGCGGAUAAUAUCUACGGCCGAAUGAUUUAUCGACUUUGGUUGUGCAAGCGUUGAAUUAGCUCGUUCGUAGGGUAAAAGCCUACCAAGGCGACGAUCAAUAACUGGUUUAUGAGGAUGAUCAGCCACACUGGGACUAAGACCCGGCCGGGACUCCUACGGGAUGCAGCAGUGGGUAAUAUUGGACCAUGGGCGGAAGGCUGAUCCAGUAAUGCCGCGUGAGUGAUGAAGGCCUUAGGGUUGUAAAGCUCUUGUAACCGGGAUGAUAAUGACAGUACCGGGAGAAUAAGCCCCGGCUAACUCCGUG